GUGAAUCAUAGAAUGUUAAGCACUACACCAUGACUUAAGAUUAGAUUCAAGGAGACCUAUUAAGAAUAGAAUUUCUUGUAGGCUUUGUGGACCAAGGGGAUUAGCACUGUUUUCCCAAGACAGGUUAUGUGAUUAUGAUCUUCAGGCUUUGCCUAUCCAGGUGGGCAUUACUUUUACUAUACGUAUAUAGAGAUCCCCUGCGUGUCGUGGGCCUCUUAUACGAAUAUAUGCAUGAGAUGAUUUUUAACUGUUAAUUUCAGUUUAUUAUUAUGCCCAAAUGAUAAAUGACUCUUAUGAAAUGAAAAUGAAAUGUUCAUGAAAUGAAAUGAAAUGUUUAUGAAAUGAUUGACUGCCUAAAAAUGUUUAUGUUUUUAUAUGUAUCCUAUCUGUGUUGGUUCGCCAACUUUGAAGGAAAUCCAAUUGGGAUCCUAUGCUAGACAAAGGUCGCUAGCUAGGGUUAACGUGUACACUUAUGGAGACCGCGAGUCGCUUGCGACCGGUCUUGGCGUCCGUGGUAAGGAGGCCUCCUUCCCGGCGCGUGACAGAAAGGAACAGAUAUGGAUCAUAUGAAGGAAAAUGAUCGGCCGAUCGACUUUAUGAAAAUGAAAGAAAUAUUUUAGUAAGCGCAGGUCAUUUAAGAAAACCCCUGUGUGUUACUGUUAUGGCAGUUCAAUUUAUAUAUGUAUGCAUGUUGUAUUUUCGGCUAUGCCCACUGAGUAUUUUUAUACUCAGCCCUGCAUGUAUUUCUAAAUGUGCAGGUUGAGCAGUUGAUGGAAUGGAAUGAUGUUGAGCGGGUGUUCCUUUGACAUUUCAAG
rnacentral:lncRNA from 1 species